AGCGAACGCUGGCGGCAGGCCUAAUACAUGCAAGUCGAGCGCACCUUCGGGUGAGCGGCGGACGGGUGAGUAACGCGUGGGAAUGUGCCCUUUUGGUACGGAACAACUGAGGGAAACUUCAGCUAAUACCGUAUGUGCCCUUGGGGAAAGAUUUAUCGCCAUUGGAGCAGCCCGCGUUGGAUUAGGUAGUUGGUGAGGUAAAGGCUCACCAAGCCUACGAUCCAUAGCUGGCUGAGAGGAUGAUCAGCCACACUGGGACUGAGACACGGCCCAGACUCCUACGGGAGGCAGCAGUAGGGAAUCUUGCGCAAUGGGCAAAGCCUGACGCAGCCAAUGCCGCGUGAAUGAUGAAGGU
rnacentral:rRNA from 1 species